rnacentral:lncRNA from 1 species
AUGGGAAAGACUAGAGAUCUCUUUAAGAAAAUUCGAGAUACCAAGGGAACAUUUCAUGCAAAGAUGGGCUUGAUAAAGGACAGAAAUGGUAUGGACCUAACAGAAGCAGAAGAUAUUAAGAAGAGGUGGCAAGAAUACACAGAAGAACUGUAUAAAAAAUAUCCUCGCGACCAGGAUAAUCACGAUGGUGUGAUCACUCAUCUAGAGCCAGAUAUCCUGGAAUGUGAAGUCAAGUGGGCCUUAGAAAGCAUCACUAGGAACAAAGCUAGUGGAGGUGAUGGAAUUCCAGUUGAGCUAUUUCAAAUCUCGAAAGAUGAUGUUGUGAAAGUGGUGCACUCAAUAUGCCAGCAAAUUUGGAAAACUCAGCAGUGGUCACAGGACUGGAAAAGGUCAGUUUUCAUUCCAAUCCCAAAGAAAGGCAAUGCCAAAGAAUGCUCAAACUACCACACAAUUGCACUCAUCUCACAUGCUAGUAAAGUAAUGCUCAAAAUUCUCCAAGCCAGGCUUCAGCAAUACGUGAACCAUGAACUUCCAGAUGUUCAAGCUGGUCUUAGAAAAGGCAAAGGAACCAGAGAUCAAAUUGCAAACAUCUGCUGGAUCAUCAAAAAAGCAAGAGGGUUCCAGAAAAACAUCUAUUUCUGCUUUCUUGACUAUGCCAAAGCCUUUGACUGUGUGGAUCACAAGAAACUGUGGAAACUUCUGAAAGAGAUGGGAAUACCAGACCACCUGACCUACCUCUUGAGAAACGUAUAUGCAGGUCAGGAAGCAAUAGUUAGAACCGGACAUGGAACAACAGACUGGUUCCAAAUAGGAAAAGGAGUACAUCAAGGCUGUAUAUUGUCACCCUGCUUAUUUAACUUGUAUGCAGAGCACAUCAUGAGAAAUGCUGGGCUGGAAGACACACAAGCUGGAAUCAAGAUUGCCAGGAGAAAUAUCAGUAACCUCAGAUAUGCAAAUGACACCACCCUUAUGGCAGAAAGUGAAGAGGAACUAAAAAGCCUCUUGAUGAAAGUGAAAGAGGAGAGUGAAAAAGUUGGCUUAAAGCUCAACAUCCAGAAAACGAAGAUCAUGGCAUCCGGUCCCAUCACUUCAUGGGAAAUAGAUGGGGAAACAGUGGAAACGGUGAGAGAUUUUAUUUUGGGGGGCUCCAAAAUCACUGCAGAUGGUGAUUGCAGCCAUGGAAUUAAAAGACGCUUACUCCUUGCAAGAAAAGUUAUGACCAACCUAGAUAGCAUAUUCCAAAGCAGAGACAUUACUUUGUCAACAAAGGUCCAUCUAGUCAAGUUUAUGGUUUUUCCAGUAGUCAUGUAUGGAUGUGAAAGUUGGACUGUGAAGAAAGCUGAGCACUGA